rnacentral:rRNA from 1 species
UACGGGGGGGGCAAGCGUUGUUCGGAAUUACUGGGCGUAAAGGGCUCGUAGGCGGCCAACUAAGUCAGACGUGAAAUCCCCAGGCUCAACCUGGGAACUGCGUCCGAUACUGGCAGGCUUGAAUUCGGGAGAGGGAUGCGGAAUUCCAGGUGUAGCGGUGAAAUGCGUAGAUAUCUGGAGGAACACCGGUGGCGAAGGCGGCAUCCUGGACCGAGAUUGACGCUGAGGCGCGAAAGCGUGGGGAGCAAACAGG